CUUGAGUGAGCCGACCAGCAGGGGCCGGUCCGGCGCACGGUCCUGGCCGUAGGUGGCGAGCAGGGCCUGGGCCUC
rnacentral:antisense_RNA from 1 species